rnacentral:rRNA from 1 species
AUUGAACGCUGGCGGAAUGCUUUACACAUUAAGUCGAACGUAGAGGGGGCAACCCCUUGAGAGUGGCGAACGGGUGAGUAAUAUAUCGGAACGUGCCCAGUCGUGGGGGAUAACGUAGUGAAAAUUACGCUAAUACCGCAUACGAUCUAAGGAUGAAAGCGGGGGAUCGCAAGACCUCGCGCGACUGGAGCGGCCGAUAUCAGAUUAGGUAGUUGGUAGGGUAAAGGCCUACCAAGCCAACGAUCUGUAGCUGGUCUGAGAGGACGACCAGCCACACUGGAACUGAGACACGGUCCAGACUCCUACGGGAGGCAGCAGUGGGGAAUUUUGGACAAUGGGCGAAAGCCUGAUCCAGCCAUUCCGCGUGCAGGAUGAAGGCCCUCGGGUUGUAAACUGCUUUUGUACAGAACGAAAAGGUCUCUAUUAAUACUAGGGGCUCAUGACGGUACUGUAAGAAUAAGCACCGGCUAACUACGUGCCAGCAGCCGCGGUAAUACGUAGGGUGCAAGCGUUAAUCGGAAUUACUGGGCGUAAAGCGUGCGCAGGCGGUUAUAUAAGUCAGAUGUGAAAUCCCCGGGCUCAACCUGGGAACUGCAUUUGAGACUGUAUAGCUAGAGUACGGUAGAGGGGGAUGGAAUUCCGCGUGUAGCAGUGAAAUGCGUAGAUAUG